rnacentral:rRNA from 1 species
UACGUAGGGUGCAAGCGUUAAUCGGAAUUACUGGGCGUAAAGCGUGCGCAGGCGGUUGUGCAAGACAGGUGUGAAAUCCCCGGGCUUAACCUGGGAACUGCACUUGUGACUGCACAGCUGGAGUACGGCAGAGGGGGAUGGAAUUCCGCGUGUAGCAGUGAAAUGCGUAGAUAUGCGGAGGAACACCGAUGGCGAAGGCAGUCCCCUGGGCCUGUACUGACGCUCAUGCACGAAAGCGUGGGGAGCAAACGGG